GCCUUGAACAACUAUUCCCAGAUGAUGAGAAUGAUGGCAAUGAUGAUGAAGAAUUACCACGUGAACCCUCAUCGUCUAUUGUUACUAAAAAAUCCUCAACAAUCUAGGAAAAGAACUAAAGGAAGA